rnacentral:lncRNA from 1 species
GUAUCUCCUUCGGUGGUGGAUAUGGGGUACUCCACGAACAAAUCAUCCCAUUUAUUUUCUUUAUUUUUUCGUUAAUUUAUUAUUUUCACAUUUUUUAUAUUUUUUUCUUUUUUUCCAAUUAUUUCAUCUUUUCUAAAAAUAUUACAUUUAUUCAUAUCAAUUGUUAUUUUUUUUCUUACGACAAUAAUUAUUUGACCAAAUAACUAAAAUUAAAAGGCGGUUCUAGGCACGGUUCCACGGUUUCCGGUUCUAACCGUGGAACCUUCGGUUCACGGUUCCAAGGCGGUUCUGGCACGG